UUGAUCCUGGCUCAGAUUAACGCUGGCGGCAUGCUACACAUGCAAGUCGAACGGCAGCACGGGAGCAAUCCUGGUGGCGAGUGGCGAACGGGUGAGUAAUAUAUCGGAACGUGCCCAGUCGUGGGGGAUAACGCAGCGAAAGCUGUGCUAAUACCGCAUACGAUCUAUGGAUGAAAGCGGGGGAUCGCAAGACCUCGCGCGAUUGGAGCGGCCGAUAUCAGAUUAGGUAGUUGGUGAGGUAAAGGCUCACCAAGCCGACGAUCUGUAGCUGGUCUGAGAGGACGACCAGCCACACUGGAACUGAGACACGGUCCAGACUCCUACGGGAGGCAGCAGUGGGGAAUUUUGGACAAUGGGCGCAAGCCUGAUCCAGCAAUGCCGCGUGCAGGAUGAAGGCCUUCGGGUUGUAAACUGCUUUUGUACGGAACGAAAAAGCUCUGGUUAAUACCUGGGGCUAUGACGGUACCGUAAGAAUAAGCACCGGCUAAC
rnacentral:rRNA from 1 species